rnacentral:rRNA from 1 species
AUUGAACGCUGGCGGCAUGCCUUACACAUGCAAGUCGAACGGCAGCACGGGAGCAAUCCUGGUGGCGAGUGGCGAACGGGUGAGUAAUAUAUCGGAACGUGCCCAGUCGUGGGGGAUAACGUAGCGAAAGCUACGCUAAUACCGCAUACGAUCUAUGGAUGAAAGCGGGGGAUCGCAAGACCUCGCGCGAUUGGAGCGGCCGAUAUCAAAUUAGCUAGUUGGUGGGGUAAAGGCCCACCAAGGCGACGAUCUGUAGAUGGUCUGAGAGGACGACCCGCCACGUUGAGACUGAGACACGGCCCAGACUCAUACGGGAGGCAGCAGUGGGGAAUUUUGGACAAUGGGCGCAAGCCUGAUCCAGCAAUGCCGCGUGCAGGACGAAGGCCUUCGGGUUGUAAACUGCUUUUGUACGGAACGAAACGGCCCCUUCUAAUACAGGGGGCUAAUGACGGUACCGUAAGAAUAAGCACUGGCUAACUACGUGCCAGCAGCCGCCGUAA